AAAAAAAAAAAAAAGAAAAAGAGUAAAUGGUGCAUGUGUUUCAUACUGAAUAUGCAUUACUCAUUGGAGAUUUAAUAUCUACAAAUGUGAAAUUAGAAUGAUUUUAUUUUCCCCUUGGCUAUAUCUACUUCGUAUAAAGAAACACAAUUCAAUGGCAUAUCCAAGGUCAAAGCCCAAUGUGUUACAAAACUAAUACAAUAAAAACUAAUUAAUUGCAAAUGCAAAAGGUCCAAACUCAGAAAUUUUUAUAUUCCAACAAUCACUAUCACACACAUUUUUCCUACUAGGAAGACUGCUUGUUUCCUACUAGGGAGGCUCCUAGUUCGUUUUUAGAUGACUUCCAUUUUAACCAUACGAUUAUUAUCCAAAACUAGAAAAUUAGUCACUUGAAAGCAACCCAAUCAUAGUCAUCUGUAAACUUUACUAAAUUGGUUACCAAAAUGAAAG
rnacentral:misc_RNA from 1 species